AGCGAACGCUGGCGGCGUACUUAACACAUGCAAGUCGAACGGGGAUCACCGGUGUAGCAAUACAUUGUUGGUCCUAGUGGCGCACGGGUGAGUAACACGUGGGUAACCUGCCCUUGAGUUCGGGAUACCCCCUCGAAAGGGGGGCUAAUACCGGAUACGUUCCUUGGGUCGACAGAUCUGAGGAGGAAAGGUGGCGCAAGCUGCCGCUCUUGGAGGGGCUCGCGGCCUAUCAGCUAGUUGGCGGGGUAACGGCCCACCAAGGCUAUGACGGGUAGCUGGUCUGAGAGGACGACCAGCCACACGGGGACUGAGACACGGCCCCGACUCCUACGGGAGGCAGCAGUGGGGAAUUUUCCGCAAUGGGCGAAAGCCUGACGGAGUGACGCCGCGUGUGGGACGAAGGCCUUCGGGUCGUAAACCACUGUCAGUGGGAAAGAAGGGUGUCGAUGCUAACACCAUCGGCAUUUGACGGUACCUGCAGAGGAAGCCCCGGCCAACUC
rnacentral:rRNA from 1 species